CCUACGGGAGGCAGCAGUAGGGAAUAUUGCUCAAUGGGGGAAACCCUGAAGCAGCAACGCCGCGUGGAGGAUGAAGGUUUUCGGAUUGUAAACUCCUAUUGUUAGAGAAGAUAAUGACGGUAUCUAACGAAUAAGCACCGGCUAACUCCGUGCCAGCAGCCGCGGUAAUACGGAGGGUGCAAGCGUUACCCGGAAUCACUGGGCGGAAAGAGCGCGUAGGCGGGAUAGCAAGUCAGAUGUGAAAUCCUAUGGCUUAACCAUAGAACUGCAUUUGAAACUGUUAUUCUAGAGUAUGGGAGAGGUAAGUGGAAUUCUGGGUGUAGGGGUAAAAUCCGUAGAGAUUAAGAGGAAUACUCAGUGCGAAGGCGACCUGCUAGAACAUAACUGACGCUGAUGCGCGAAAGCGUGGGGAGCAAACAGGAUUAGAUACCCGGGUAGUC
rnacentral:rRNA from 1 species